UUAAGUUCAGCGGGUAUCCCUACCUGAUCCGAGGUCAACCUUGGUGCCGCCGGAGCGGGCUUGAGGGGGUUUAGAGGCCGGAUAGCCCGGGGGCUCCCGAUGCGAGGCAGAUGUUACUACGCAAAGGAAGGGCCCGUCGGGUCCGCCACUGGUUUUCGGGGACUGCCUGGGCAGGUCCCCAACGCCGGGCCACGGGGGCU
rnacentral:misc_RNA from 1 species